UCAUCUCCCCGUGACUCCGUUAUAACUUUCCGAUAAACCCAACCCGAGGCUAAAAUAAAUAAAGAAAUAAAUCCAAACGAACCCAUAAAAGCCUCUCUCACACUCUUGCUCGUACCAUGAAAGGGAAAAAAUCUCUGUGUUAAGACUAUUUUUUUUCUCCGAUUUCCUCAAAUCUGCGUUUCCGUCUAAUAAACAAAGCUUGUCAUUGUCCGUGUUCUGCAAAAUCGUCCACUUACACGUAAACAUAACACCGAAAAGAUCUCUCCCUCUCUUUCUCUCUAACAUUCAUUUUCUCGCUGCUUUUGUUUCGUUUCGGUUUGGUCUUCAAUGGUGAUGGUGGACACGGAGAGCUGUGCGAGUAUGGCGCAAGAUACGUCCGCGACGUCGCCUGCAAGGAAUCGGCAGCAGCGGCAGAAGCUCGAGGUGUACAAUGAGGUUCUCCGUCGGCUUAGGGAUUCAGACAACGAGGAGGCUUUUCAGACUGGCUUCGACGACCAACUUUGGUCUCACUUCAAUCGCCUCCCAACUCGUUAUGCAUUGGAUGUGAAUGUAGAGAGACCAGAAGAUGUUCUUAUGCAUAAGAGAUUGCUGCAUUUGGCUCAAGAUCCCGCAGAUAGGCCUGCAAUUGAAGUCCGCCUUGUGCAGGUCCAUUCAACUUCUGAUGGGAAUUCAGCUUACUCUGUGCAUUCAGAUUUUCCUGGUGAAGAAGCUGCCCAAAGUAAAAUAAAUGGCUCUAACAGACAGAGCAUCCAUCCACCACCUGCUUUUGGUUCAUCUCCUAAUCUUGAAGCCCUCGAGCUUGAAGCUGAUAAGUCUCUUGCUCUAGAUGAGGAGAAUCCAGUACAUGCCUGCACUUGGUUUUCACAGCCCAUGCAUGAAAUUACCUUCUCAUCAGAUGACAAACCCAAACUCCUUAGUCAGUUGACUUCCCUGCUUGCUGAGAUGGGACUAAACAUCCAAGAGGCACAUGCUUUUUCAACAGUGGAUGGUUAUUCCUUAGAUGUAUUCGUUGUUGAUGGUUGGCCUUAUGAGGACACAGAGCUGCUCAAAACUACAUUGGAAAGGAAACUUUUGAAAAUCGAGAGGCAGGCUUGGCCAAAUGCUCUACCAUCAGUUUCUGUAGGCGAGCUAGAUCAAGCAAUAACGAAAUGUGAACCUGAUCAUUUGACAAUACCUAAUGAUGGGACUGAUGUAUGGGAAAUUGAUCCUAAGCAUUUGAAGUUUGAAAACAAAAUCGCAUCUGGGUCAUAUGGGGAUCUGUACAAAGGUACAUACUACAGUCAGGAAGUGGCUAUUAAAGUUCUCAAGCCUGAGCAUGUGGAUUCAGAUAUGCAGAGAGAGUUUGCACAGGAAGUCUUUAUUUUGAGGAAAGUUCGACAUAAGAAUGUUUUACAAUUUAUAGGUGCAUGUACCAAGCCUCCAAGUGUGUGCAUUGUAACAGAGUUUAUGUCUGGUGGAAGUGUCUAUGACUAUUUACAUAAACAAAAGGGUGUUUUCAAGCUUCCGUCCUUGCUCAAAGUUGCAAUUGAUGUUUCCAAGGGAAUGAACUACUUGCACCAAAAUAAUAUUAUCCACAGAGAUUUGAAGGCUGCUAAUCUUUUGAUGGAUGACAAUGAGGUUGUUAAGGUAGCUGAUUUUGGGGUUGCAAGGGUAAAACCUCAAUCUGGGGUUAUGACUGCAGAAACUGGGACAUAUAGGUGGAUGGCUCCUGAGGUUAUUGAACACAAGCCAUACGAUCACAAGGCUGAUGUUUUUAGUUUUGGAGUUGUAUUGUGGGAGUUGCUAACUGGAAAGCUUCCAUACGAAUAUUUAACCCCAUUGCAAGCAGCUGUUGGAGUGGUUCAAAAGGGUCUACGGCCUACCAUCCCGAAGAACGCUCAUCCAAAGCUUGUUGAACUACUUGAGAGAUGCUGGCAGCAAGAUCCAGCAUUAAGACCAGAUUUCUCUGAAAUUAUAGAGAUCCUGCAGCAAACGGCCAAGGAGGUCGGAGAUGAAGGAGAGGAACGGCGCAAGGAAAAGUCAUCUGGAGGCUUCUUGUCUGUUCUUAGACGGGGCCAUGUACAGUGAAAGAGAGGCUAUCAGACAUUUUACCAUUUCCAACACAUCCAAGAUCAAAGAUUUUCCUUUUGCAGUUCCUAAUCUUAAGAACAAAGAGGAAUUCCCCCCUCCUUCCCAAGUUUCAACACAAGUCUUGAGUACGUACACAACUAUUCCAAGUUCAAGUAAUCAAGCUUCAGAUUCUCAGAAUUCUUCAUCUAAAUAGAAGAAGAAUUCAACUGAUUCACAAGAUUCAACUAGUCAUGUCCGAAAAUAUUGCUGUAAGGAUUAGAGUCUGUUGAAGAGGCCUCUGAUUCUUUAGCUGAAUCGUCAUAGUUGUUUUCAUCCUCAAUGAAUUUUUUCAACAGUUUGAUUAAAUCUUUCUUCUUCAAUUUGUCUAGAGGAUAUAUAAUAUAAUAAAUAUAUAUCUAAUAUAUCUUCUAAAUAAA